rnacentral:rRNA from 1 species
GCUUGUCUCAAAGAUUAAGCCAUGCAUGUCUUAGUGUAAAUAACUCUUAUGAAACUGCGAAUGGCUCAUUAAAUCAGUUAUCGUUUAUUUGAUGGUCCCUUACUACAUGGAUAACCGUAGUAAUUCUAGAGCUAAUACAUGCAUCAACUCCCAACUGCUUGUCGGACGGGAUGUAUUUAUUAGAUGGAAACCAAUGCGGGGCAACCCGGUAUAUGGUGAUUCAUAUAACUUUCGGAUCGAUCUUCGGAUCGAUGCAUCAUUCAAGUUUCUGCCCUAUCAGCUUUGGAUGGUAGGGUAUUGGCCUACCAUGGCUUUAACGGGUAACGGAGAAUUAGGGUUCGAUUCCGGAGAGGGAGCCUGAGAAAUGGCUACCACAUCCAAGGAAGGCAGCA